UACGUAGGGUGCAAGCGUUGUCCGGAAUUAUUGGGCGUAAAGAGCUCGUAGGCGGUUUGUUGCGUCGGCUGUGAAAACCCGGGGCUCAACCCCGGGCCUGCAGCCGAUACGGGCAGACUAGAGUUCGGCAGGGGGAGACUGGAAUUCCUGGUGUAGCGGUGAAAUGCGCAGAUAUCAGGAGGAACACCGGUGGCGAAGGCGGGUCUCUGGGCCGAUACUGACGCUGAGGAGCGAAAGCGUGGGGAGCGAACAGG
rnacentral:rRNA from 1 species